rnacentral:rRNA from 1 species
UACGUAGGGUGCAAGCGUUAAUCGGAAUUACUGGGCGUAAAGCGUGCGCAGGCGGUUAUUUAAGACAGGUGUGAAAUCCCAGGGCUUAACCUUGGAACUGCAUUUGUGACUGCAUAGCUAGAGUACGGUAGAGGGGGAUGGAAUUCCGCGUGUAGCAGUGAAAUGCGUAGAUAUGCGGAGGAACACCGAUGGCGAAGGCAAUCCCCUGGACCUGUACUGACGCUCAUGCACGAAAGCGUGGGGAGCAAACAGG